rnacentral:rRNA from 1 species
AAUAUUGCACAAUGGGCGAAAGCCUGAUGCAGCGACGCCGCGUGAGUGAAGAAGGUCUUCGGAUCGUAAAACUCUGUCCUUGGGGAAGAUAAGGACGGUAGGCAAGGCGGAAGCCCCGGCUAACUACGUGCCAGCAGCCGCGGUAAUACGUAGGGGGCGAGCGUUGUCCGGAUUUACUGGGCGUAAAGGGUGAGUAGGCGGUUGUAUAUGUCAGGUGUAAAAGACUAUGGCUUAACCAUAGUUAGCACUUGAAACUGUAUGACUUGAGUGCAGGAGAGGUAAGUGGAAUUCCUAGUGUAGCGGUGAAAUGCGUAGAUAUUAGGAGGAACACCAGUGGCGAAGGCGACUUACUGGACUGUAACUGACGCUGAGUCACGAAAGCGUGGGUAGCAAACAG